rnacentral:rRNA from 1 species
GACGAACGCUGGCGGCGUGCCUAAUACAUGCAAGUAGAACGCUGAAGGAGGAGCUUGCUUCUCUGGAUGAGUUGCGAACGGGUGAGUAACGCGUAGGUAACCUGCCUGGUAGCGGGGGAUAACUAUUGGAAACGAUAGCUAAUACCGCAUAAGAGUAGAUGUUGCAUGACAUUUGCUUAAAAGGUGCAAUUGCAUCACUACCAGAUGGACCUGCGUUGUAUUAGCUAGUUGGUGAGGUAACGGCUCACCAAGGCAACGAUACAUAGCCGACCUGAGAGGGUGAUCGGCCACACUGGGACUGAGACACGGCCCAGACUCCUACGGGAGGCAGCAGUAGGGAAUCUUCGGCAAUGGACGGAAGUCUGACCGAGCAACGCCGCGUGAGUGAAGAAGGUUUUCGGAUCGUAAAGCUCUGUUGUAAGAGAAGAACGAGUGUGAGAGUGGAAAGUUCACACUGUGACGGUAUCUUACCAGAAAGGGACGGCUAACUAUGUG